rnacentral:rRNA from 1 species
AACGAACGCUGGCGGCGUGUCUUAAGCAUGCAAGUCGAGCGGCAAGGGUAGCAAUACCCCUAGAGCGGCGGACUGGUGAGUAACACGUGGGUGAUCUACCUCAGGGUUGGGGAUAGCCAUUAGAAAUAGUGGGUAAUACCGAAUACGUUCCGUUGACUACGGUCAGCGGAGGAAAGGCGCUACGGCGCCGCCCCGAGAUGAGCCCGCGCCCCAUUAGCUAGUUGGUGAGGUAAUGGCCCACCAAGGCUAUGAUGGGUAGGCGGCCUGAGAGGGUGUACGCCCACAUUGGGACUGAGAUACGGCCCAAACUCCUACGGGAGGCAGCAGCUAAGAAUAUUCCGCAAUGGACGAAAGUCUGACGGAGCGACGCCGCGUGGAUGAUGAAGGCCGGAAGGUUGUAAAAUCCUUUUGUCGGGGAAGAAUAAGCGUGGGAGGGAAUGCCCGCGUGAUGACAUGAACCGGCGAAUAAGCCCCGGCUAACUACGUGCCAGCAGCCGCGGUAAAGUCUGUACU